rnacentral:rRNA from 1 species
CCUACGGGAGGCAGCAGUGGGGAAGAGUGCACAAUGGGGGAAACCCUGAUGCAGCGACGCCGCGUGAGUGAAGAAGAAUUUCGGUACGUAAAGCUCUAUCAGCAGGGAAGAAAAGGACGGUACCUGACUAAGAAGCCCCGGCGAACUACGUGCCAGCAGCCGCGGUAAGACGUAGGGGGCAAGCGUUCUCCGGAUUUACUGGGUGUAAAGGGAGCGUAGACGGCAGCGCAAGUCUGGAGUGAAAUCCCAUGGCUUAACCAUGGAACUGCUUUGGAAACUGUGCAGCUAGAGUGCAGGAGCGGUCAGCGGCAUUCCUAGUGUCGCGGUGACAUUCGUAGAUAUUAGGCGGAACACCAGUGGCGACGGCGGCUUACUGGACUGUACCUGACGUUGCGGCUCG